GCUCUAAAUCGGAUGCUUUCCUUCGGGACAGAGGAGACAGGUGGUGCAUGGUUGUCGUCAGCUCGUGUCGUGAGAUGUUGGGUUAAGUCCCGCAACGAGCGCAACCCCUAUUACUUAGUAGCCAGCAGUUCGGCGUGGGCACUCUAAGUAGAAGACUGCCGGGGAUAAACCCGGAGGAAGGUGGGGAUGACGUCAAAUCAUCAUGCCCCUUAUCUGAUUUGGGCUACACACGUGCUACAAUGGCGUAAAACAAAGGGAAGCGAACCCCGCGAGGGUGAGCAAAUCUCAAAAAUAACCGUCUCAGUUCGGAUUGUAGUCUGCAACUCGACUACAUAGAAGCUGGAAUCGCUAAUAAUCGCGAAUCAGAAU
rnacentral:rRNA from 1 species